UGUUCCAUUUGAAAAGGGAGACUUUCUAUUGGAAUACAGAGGUGAUCUAAUAAGCAAGCAAGAAUGUGAGAGGAGACGGAGCAUUUACCAUGACCUCCUCAAAGUGUUUAUGUUCGAGUUCCAUUUUAAUGGAAAACUGUGGUGUGUUGAUGCAGCAACAGAGAAUGGGUCACUUGGCAGACUUGUAAAUGACGACCAUAUGAACCCUAAUGCCAAGAUGAAGUACCUCACUGUACAAGGGAAGCCCCAUCUCUGUUUGUUUGCAGUUCGAGACAUAAGUCCAGGAGAGGAGAUCACCUAUAAUUAUGGUGACUCAGACUGGCCGUGGAGAUGCAAGGCCCUUGAUGAUGAAAUGGCUCCAAAGAUUUGUGGUGCCA